rnacentral:tRNA from 1 species
GCGCCGGUAGUCUAGCCUGGUUAGGACUCUGGCCUCCCAAGCCAGUAACCCGAGUUCGAAUCCCGGCCGGCGCACCA